UACGAAGGGGGCAAGCGUUGUCCGGAUUUAUUGGGCGUAAAGAGCGUGUAGGCGGCCAGAUAGGUCUGUUGUGAAAACUCGAGGCUCAACCUCGAGACGCCGAUGGAAACCAUCUGGCUAGAGUCCGGAAGAGGAGAAUGGAAUUCCUGGUGUAGCGGUGAAAUGCGCAGAUAUCAGGAAGAACACCCGUGGCUAAGGCGGUUCUCUAGUACGGUACUGACGCUGAGACGCGAAAGCGUGGGGAGCGAACAGG
rnacentral:rRNA from 1 species